rnacentral:snRNA from 11 species
AGCUUUGCACAGUGGCAGUACCGUAGCCAAUAAGGUUUAUCCGAGGUGCGAUUAUUGCUAAUUGAAACAAUACGACUCAAGAUCUGAACCCAGGGGCUUGAGAAACACACCGAGUGG